AGCUGUCCCCGGGCUGCCUGGGAGUCACUGGGGAGUCCUAGCCCGCCCUUGGGCCUAGGGCUCCCUGAUGCGGCCUCCACUCUUCGCAGGGCCAGGGGGCGAGGAAGGAGGAGGGAGGGAAGAGGGAAGCUGGGGAGUGGGAGAGCGUCCUCCACGACCGCUUGGGUCCUCCGCGGGGCAGCCUCGGGGAGGGUGGCUGCAGGGCCCGGAGUCGCCUGGAUCGCAGCGCCAUCUCGUGGCUGCUGGCAGGUCUGCCUUGGGCCCUCUUGGCACAAGGCAAGGAAACAGGAGCUCUUCCCAUCAGUGACAGGUGCCCGCCGGCCCGCACCCAGGAGAAUGCUCCAGUGUCACCAGUGACUCCUGCUCCCACAUCUGCCUACAGGAAGCCCUCUUGGAACAAAAGCAUCUCACUUCUGGGAGGCAUCAAGUAGAGAUGAGGUCUCAAUGAAGCAGUGUUGUUGCCUGGGGUAAAUACCCGGGUUCAUCAUCUCGAGCCAAGAAGAUUAAGGACAUGAACACACAUGAAGAGUAAGUUUAGGAGCAGAGGUUUAAUAGGCAAAAGAAAGAGAAAGGAGAACAGCUCUCUCCCUUGCAAAAGAGAGGGGCUCCCAAAGGGGAAAACCCAGCCUGCGGUGGACUACACCCGAUUUUAUAGGCAAGCUUGAGAAGGCAGUGUCUGAUUUAUGUAGGGUUCACAGAUUGGUUUGACCAGUAUGAUGUUUACAUAGUAUUCACGGAAGGCUGCAUGCCCCACCCUAAUCUUAUUAUGUAAAUGGAGUCUUUGCCUGGCUGGCGCCAUAUUGUCUUCUCCUUACUGUACAUGUGGUUUGACAAAGGGAAGGGAAGAUGAAGCUGCCAUUUUGAACAUGCCUAGUCCCAGGUAGCCUUUUCCUGUUGGCACAACUGCUGGCAUUCACCUGUACAAGCUUCCAGCUUGCUUACCUAUGUCUGCAGCUCGAUUUUACAGGCUGCUCUUUGUAGAAAAAAAAACAAAAAACUAUUUUGAGACUGCUUUUCAUGAAAAGAAAAACCUUACCAAGGACUCCCAGACCCUCACUAUCUGCCUAAGUAAUUUCUUCUUAACUCCUGUAUCAUUACUAUAUUGCCCAGGCUGGUCUCAAAUUCCUGGGCUCAAGUGAUCCUCCCACCUUAGCCUCCCAAAGUGCUAGGAUUACAGGCAUGAGCCACUGUGCCCAGCCAUGUUGUAUUUUUUAAAGUACAGUUUAUCAUGAAAAAGGGAGAAAAGGUACUACAUCCAACCAGAAUGGCUAAAAUGAAAGAGAUAAACACUAUCAAAUUUUGACAAAGAUAUGAAACAACCAGAACUCUCAUAUAUGCCUGGUGGCAGUGUAAAAUGGCAUAGCCACUUUAGGAAAUAGCUUGGUAGUAUCCACUAAAGCUGAAAAUAUGCAUAUAUUCAAUUGUAUUCUUAAGUAUAUAUCCUACAAAAAUUUAUGAGCGUUUUAACCAAAAGAUCUGUGUACAAAUGUCCAUAGCAGUAAUCUUUUCUUUUUUUUUUUUUUUUUUUUUUUUUUUUGCUCCAGUCAAGGGAGAAGCAGUGAUGUUUUAGUAUCCAGAAAGUGGAAAUAACCCAAAUGCCCAUCAACAGCAGAAUGAAAUUGUACUAUAUUCACACCAUGGAAUAUUGUAUAGCAAAGAGAAUGAAUGAACUAUUAACAGAAAAGACAUGGACAAAUCUCAUAAACAUGAUGCUGAAAGAAACCACAGUCAAAAAAGAAGAUGCUUCCCAACCUUUUGCAGACCAUGGCAUACGCAGAAAAUGACAACAUCGGAAUGGCACACUGGCAUACCAGUUGGGGAUCCUUGCAGUCAAUGCUGACUGGACUCAUCCUUCAGCCGCCCCCAAGAAGAGAGAGAUCAAUACCUUGGCACAUCUGUGGGAAAGCUCCCAUUAGAGAGUGUGGGGAAGACACAGGCCUCCACAACACAUUUCAGGUUCUCUAAACUGGCAAAGGGGAAGAGUCUGGGCUUCCUUUGCCCUUUUGUUCUCAAAGAGCCCAGCUGUGCACACCCCUCACCCCUGCACUAUAGCUCCCAUUUGGGUAGUGAAAAAUCACAGGACUCAGGGGAGUUAUGCAGCAUUCGGGAAUGGAGACCUGGAAAGCCACACACUCCUCCUUGCUUUCCUGUGAGCCUCUCUUCUUGCUGUCCCCUUUACAACCAACAGUCCCUGCAGGGGGAAGACACUCUGCUUUAGUCAGUUCCACCUCCCUUCCAGAUCUCAUCCUCCUUUCAGCCUAAUUUUCCUCACACUGUCAUGCUCCUUCCCACUGCUCGCCCCCCACCCCCUACUCUCCUCCAGCACAUCACACAUUGCGCCUGGGCACACUGAGCUUGUCUGCCAUCUAUGAAGAGGCCCAUGUCACCCAAGCCCUUCUCUUUCCCUGUCAUGCCAUAGCCUCUUCCAGGAGCGCUCAGCCUGCUGUUUCUGCUCAGACCUCCCCUCCUCUGCAAAGCCUCCUUCUGCGUGCUGCCCGAGAGCCAUCCCCCACUUGGGUUUGUGUUACUGCUGUGUAUGGCAGCAUCUUCACUGUGCCUGAUUUCCCGUCUUGGCCCAUCGUAGGUGCUCAACAAUUGUUUCUCAAAUGACCAGCGCCUGCAGAGGGACCCUGACAUGAACUCCACCCCACCCCGACUCUUGGCAGUUACUCACUGUCCCCUUGAGUCGGGAUCCCAGCCCCUCAGGGGACCUGUCUUGCAGCCAUUCCACGCUCUGUCACCCCACUGCCAGGAGACUAGAGCCACACUGCCUGGAUGACGCUCAUCUUUACCAGCUCGCAGCUCUGCCAGCUGCCUGCUCAGGGGUGGCCGCCAGCUGAGGGAUUGAGCUGAUUAUAGGUGAAUCAGCACCAGGCUGAUUGUGGUGUGAAAAAGGGGAAGGGUGACUGUGUCUUAGCCUCAAUCCUGGCUCCCCUCCUUCCAGCCCUGACCUGCAGUAACAGCACAGGGCCACCAGAGGCUCUAUUGGGCGACUCAUGCCCCGCGGAGAAAGGCCCAGUAGGAGAGCAUCUGACCCAGUUCCCAGCAGAUGAGAAAGGAAGAAGAGUUCAGGAGGCUUCUACUCUCAGAGGUCUCCAGCACUGAAACCCCGCAGCCGCACCUGGCUGCCUUAUCCUUGUGUUUUGCCCCUCAUGGGUCUAGAAGCUGUUGUGUUACACCUUAACAUCUUCCUCCUUGCUUGCCAUGAGCCCCUCUGCUUGCAGCCCCCUUUACAGAACAACAGUCAUGGUAGAGGGAAGAUGUCUCCACUUUUGUCAGUUCUGCCUCCUUUAGGAGAGUGUCAGGCCUAACCCAUGUGUGCUCUGUCUUUCAGGGCAUGGAAAAGACUAUUGUCCUGUUUCGUCUUUUCAACACCUCUUGACUCUCUCCCCCUGGUUUCCUAACAGCCAGCUAGGUUCAGGGCCUCCCAUCUCUGGCCAGGAUUAGUGCAAUGGCUUUCUGAAGGGUCCCAGGCUCCAGGGAGCCCCUUGCCCAUCAAGUCUCUACCCUGGAGCCAGACAGCCCUUACUUCCAUCAGACAUCAGCCUCCAGUGGCUCCGAAAGGCCAGGCAUCCACACAGCACCCCACGGCCCCAAGAACUGGCUGCUUGAUUUUCCUGCCCUGUGUCCCUCCUCUCCUUGGCCCUCUACCCAGCAAUCACCCCAAAACACUGUGAUGUUUCAAGCCUUUGUACUUUGCACACAUUCUUCUCCAUGGCCUAAUUCCCUCUCUCCACCCCUCACUCCACACCUCCUCCACCUUUACCCUUUCUCCCCAUUCUUUCUUCACCGGGCACAGCCCUACUUAUCCUUCAAAACUGCCACUUCCUCUGCGAAGCCUUUCCUGACCCGUGUCCCAGAAUCCCUCCUCUGAACAAAUCCUGUUCCCUAAACAUGCAUCUCUCAUUGUAUCUGUCACUCAAGGGUUGCAAUAAUUACACACACGCCUGUCCUUUGUCCUCCACUGGCUCUGUACCUCCAUGUGGGACCCAUGGCCAGCACACAUUGGUGGUGCCCGAAAGCUGUUGCACUGGAGUUGUUCCUUCUGCCCCAUCACCUCCCACCUUGAACAAGUCCUUUAGAUGACCUGAACUCCAGUUUGUUGAUCUGCAAAAUGGAGAGAUGUGAGAAUCAGAAGAGAACACGUAAUGAAAGGGUGUUAUAAACUGCUAAGGGCUGUACAAAUGUUUGUAUUGCAUUUUUGUCUUCCAGACUAGUGUUUACCUACACUUGCCUGUGUGGAAAUCAGAAGAUUAAAGGAAUGCGAUGUGAUCUUUUUGUAAUUUCCCCACUUGGGUCAAGGGAAAAGCUGGUCAAGAGUAAACCAUUAAUUCAUCCCCCUGCAGGCCCCCCAAUCUUCCCUAGAAUUCUGGGUUAAUGAUUCUGAGGUUGUUUUCCUCACAGAGCCAAUUCAUAUCUAAUCUUUGGCAUGUUCCCCCCUUUAUUAAGAAUAACUUGACUCACCCCAUUAAUUCCUCAUCCUGGGGUCACGAGCCUUGUUUUGCAGAAGGAAAUGGUGGCUGUGUGUAUGUCUUGGGCCUUCUUUCUUUCUCAAACCCCUUUCUUUCAUGGAUUCAUGCCUACAAUUCCCUCUGUGGACAGAAGAGACCUCUCCUUACCUGCAUAAUGAAAUGUGUGACUUUUCUCAAAAGUAGCUUUAGGAAUUAACUGUGGAGGUCCAAGUAGCAAGGAUGCUGUGACCUAACUCGUUACCCCCUCACGUGUGGUUUGGAAUCCCAGCAGAAAAAAUUUCCUGAAGAUCUGGUACGGAGAAACCAUUCUGGGCCUGGCUUUUAAAUGUUUUAUUAGCAGCUGGGCGAGGACUGGGCUGCAAAGAGAUGCAGCCCCCGUCAGAAGCGAUCCCUGUUGGGGAGCAAGGCCUGGAAUUCCAGGAGGGAGGUCUGUUUAUAGCUGAGGCAGAGGCUGGGGAGCGAAGCCUGGGAGCCAGACAUGGCUUAAGGGUGGUCUGGACACUCUUGAGAUAAGGCCAACUAAGGACUAUGAGCUCAUUGAAGUUCCAAAGCCAACUCACAGCAGCUCACCACCAGACAUGUCCCCUGCCCCCACAUUCCCUCCUCUCAAUCCAGGAAUUUUGGUGCUCAUCUCUAUAAAGUUUUAGACCAUGGUGGUAGGAACCUGGUAAGUCUCAGGUUCUUGCAUUGCCCGAUUCUCCUUGGAUUUGCUGGGUUUGCCUCCUUCCCAUGUCUCAGACAGGGCUUUGCAUAAAGAAGUGGGCUGGUAGAUCUGCAAAGGUCCCUCUGUGUGACUGGAGCAAGUUACCCUCUUGAGCCUCAGUGUCCUCUUCUGUAAAAUAGGGAUAUCAUUCUUUCUUUCCCAAGGCUUUUGGUAAUAAUGUCAUUCUCAUGUGAUUCUUAACAAAAUGGGCCUUUCAGACUUAGAUCACUUUUGUGCAUGCAUAAAAAUGAAAGCAUUGAGGAGAAGGAAUUGGUGAAUAUAUGUCUGGAGCAAUAACUUCAUCAGAACUGCCACGGUGGUUGUAGGACCAUUCUGAUUCCAGAGGUAUUAAAAUGCAAAACACAAUGUUGAAAUGCAAAACCCAACAAAAUAAUAAACAGCCUUGUACCUACCGCCUCCCUUAAGAACUAAAACAAUUCCCAACACCACUGAAAGACUGUGUUCACCUCCUUGAUCCAAUCUCUUGCCUUUCCACCCCAGAGAAAACCACUGUCCUGAAUUUUUUCCCACUCCCUUGGUUUUGUUUUACCAAACAUGUAUCCAAUAUGUAACAUAUUAUUUGUAUUUGAUCUUGUUUUUGAAUUGUCCUGUAGGUAGAAUUAUAUCUUAUUCUGCAAUUUGCUUUUUAAAGUUUUUGAAAGAGCAAAACUUAUCUAUGCUAAUACGCUAAUGUGUGUAGCUGCCAUUUAUUUGUCACUGCAUAUACCCCUCUCAAUUCUGUUGAUGGAAAUUUAGGCAGUUUCCAGUAUUAUUUUGCUACAAACAUUCUCAUGGCUGUCUCCUGCAACAUGUGUGUUUCUUGGGAGUAUAC
rnacentral:lncRNA from 1 species